UACAGAGGGUGCAAGCGUUAAUCGGAAUUACUGGGCGUAAAGGGCGCGUAGGCGGCAGGCCAAGUCGGGAGUGAAAGCCCGGGGCUCAACCCCGGAAUGUCUUUCGAAACUGGCCAGCUGGAGUGCGGAAGAGGCAACUGGAAUUCCCAGUGUAGCGGUGAAAUGCGUAGAUAUUGGGAAGAACACCUGAGGCGAAGGCGGGUUGCUGGGCCGACACUGACGCUGAGGCGCGAAAGCCAGGGGAGCAAACGGG
rnacentral:rRNA from 1 species